GAUGAACGCUGGCGGCGUGCCUAAUACAUGCAAGUCGAGCGAACGGACGAGAAGCUUGCUUCUCUGAUGUUAGCGGCGGACGGGUGAGUAACACGUGGAUAACCUACCUAUAAGACUGGGAUAACUUCGGGAAACCGUAGCUAAUACCGGAUAAUAUUUUGAACCGCAUGGUUCAAAAGUGAAAGACGGUCUUGCUGUCACUUAUAGAUGGAUCCGCGCUGCAUUAGCUAGUUGGUAAGGUAACGGCUUACCAAGGCAACGAUGCAUAGCCGACCUGAGAGGGUGAUCGGCCACACUGGAACUGAGACACGUUCCAGACGCCUACGGGAGGCAGCAGUAGGGAAUCGUCCGCAAUGGGCGAAAGCCUGACGGAGCAACGCCGCGUGAGUGAUGAAGGUCUUCGGAUCGUAAAACUCUGUUAUUAGGGAAGAACAUAUGUGUAAGUAACUGUGCACAUCUUGACGGUACCUAAUCAGAAAGCCACGGCUAACUACGUG
rnacentral:rRNA from 1 species